GCCAGGCAUGGUGGUGUGCAUCUGUAGUCCCAGCUACUUGGGAGGCUGAGGUGGGAGGAUCACUUGAGCCCAGGAGGUCAAGGCUGCAGUGAGCUGUGAUCAUGCCACUGCACCCCAGCCUGGGCAACAGAGUGAGACCCUGUCUCAA
rnacentral:SRP_RNA from 1 species